rnacentral:rRNA from 1 species
AUACGUAGGGUGCGAGCGUUGUCCGGAAUUACUGGGCGUAAAGAGCUCGUAGGUGGUUUGUCGCGUCGUCUGUGAAAUUCCGGGGCUUAACUCCGGGCGUGCAGGCGAUACGGGCAUAACUUGAGUACUGUAGGGGAGACUGGAAUUCCUGGUGUAGCGGUGAAAUGCGCAGAUAUCAGGAGGAACACCGGUGGCGAAGGGGGGUCUCUGGGCAGUAACUGACGCUGAGGAGCGAAAGCAUGGGUAGCGAACAGGAUUAGAUACCCUGGUAGUCCAUGCCGUAAACGGUGGGCGCUAGGUGUAGGGGUCUUCCACGACUUCUGUGCCGUAGCUAACGCAUUAAGCGCCCCGCCUGGGGAGUACGGCCGCAAGGCUAAAACUCAAAGGAAUCGACGGGG